UCUCGCUUAGACGGCACAUAUCCUAAAAUUGGAACGAUAUAGAGAAGAUUAGCAGGGCCCUUGCGCAACAAUGACACGCAAAUUUGUAAUUCGUUCUAUUCAAAA